rnacentral:rRNA from 1 species
UACGUAGGGGGCAAGCGUUGUCCGGAAUCAUUGGGCGUAAAGCGCGUGUAGGCGGCCCAGUAAGUCCGCUGUGAAAGCCCAGGGCUCAACCCUGGGAUGCCGGUGGAUACUGUUGGGCUCGAGUCCGGAAGAGGCGAGUGGAAUUCCCGGUGUAGCGGGGAAAUGCGCAGAUAUCGGGAGGAACACCAAUGGCGAAGGCAGCUCGCUGGGACGUGACUGACGCUGAGACGCGAAAGCGUGGGGAGCAAACAGG